rnacentral:rRNA from 1 species
CUAAGCAUGCAAGUUGAACGCUGUAGCAAUACAGAGUAGCGCACGGGUGCGUAACACGUGGGAAUAUGCCUUUUGGUACGGAACAACGUUUGGAAACGAACGCUAAUACCGUAUGGUCCCUCCGGGGUAAAGAUUUAUCGCCAAAAGAGUAGCCCGCGUCUGAUUAGCUAGUUGGUGAGGUAAUGGCUCACCAAGGCGACGAUCAGUAGCUGGUCUGAGAGGACGAUCAGCCACACUGGGACUGAGACACGGCCCAGACUCCUACGGGAGGCAGCAGUUGGGAAUCUUGGACAAUGGACGCAAGUCUGAUCCAGCCAUGCCGCGUGAGUGAUGAAGGCCUUCGGGUUGUAAAGCUCUUUAGCCGAUGAAUAUAAUGACUGUAGUCGGAAAAUAAGCCCCGGCUAACUUCGUGCCAGCAGCCGCGGUAAUACGAAGGGGGCGAGCGUUGUUCGGAAUCACUGGGCGUAAAGCGUGCGUAGGUGGCGGGGAAAGUUAGGAGUGAAAGCCCAGGGCUCAACCUUGGAAUUGCUCUUAAAACUCCCUUGCUAGAAUAUCGGAGAGGAGAGCGGAAUUGUCAGUGUAGCAGUGAAAUGCGUAGAUAUUGACAGGAAUACCAGUGGCGUAAGCGGCUCUCUGGACGAUUAUUGACACUGAGGCACGAAAGCGUGGGGAUCAAACAGGAUUAGAUACCNCUGGUAGUCCAC